AACUAUUUUCUUUUGUUGUGUGUGCGUUUUUUAGAUAGCGAAAGCACAUUCCGGGUUUGUAGCACUCCUUGAAACCCUUAAAUUUCAUGGUGAGCUGAAAAUUCUUUUGAUUUUGUAUUUGGCUAAGCUUGAGGAGUGUAUCCAGACAUCUGGCCUCAAAGUCUGCACAGUUCAGUGUGGUAAACAUCUACCUUCCUUGCGCGUGUGCAACAAAAGAAAUGUUCCGUGUGUAUUUCAUACAUAGAAGGCAAUGCUACGAAGGUUAGUGACUUCUCUCGCUGUUGGCACCUGCGAGCAAGUAGUCGUGCAUCAUGUACGUAAAGAAGAUACUGGGUAUGUGCGGUGCAUUUAAAAAGUAAAAUUAAGUUUCAUUCUUCUACAUCGCAAAACAUAGAUGUAUUUAUUAUAUGAAAAGCAAUCUAAACCUAUUACUACCAUAUGAGCAGAGUACCAUGUUUGUGUCGAGCAGCCAUAGCGCAUCACUUGCACCAUGAAUAAAGCAUAGUGCAUCGCCUACUAGAAGCGGAAAUAUGCACAAGUAUGGUGACUUUUGUCCAGCAGUAAUAGUUAGAAUUGAAUGUAGGAUGUUAUUUCGUCGGAAAAGUGUGCGUGGAAUGAGACCUCCAUGGCCGCAGUGUUGCCUGCUAUAUAUGAAAUAGAGCAUAAGAUUCAAGCUGUCAAACAUGGGUGUCGCUUUGCUCUUAACCCCACAAAGCCCGAACACCAUCCCGUCUUAAAGAAAGUUAAAGGGCCCCUAAACCACCUCAGAUAUUUUUUGAACAUUUUAAGUAAACACACGCAUCGAGUUCAGAAUGCCGUCACGAUCAACGAUGCCAAACGCUGCAGUGCUACGCGCCGCGGGAGCGCCACAAAAUCGCAAAAACAAUGCCGUCCUCCUCCCCCUCGCCUUUCCGGUAUCCCCAGCGGUCGUCAUGAUGUCAGCAGGGGGGAAUCUGGUGAUGUCAACGGUGGAAACAAUGUCCAUUGGUCAAACAAGAACCUACGACUUCCGGUUUGUCUGAUAGCAGGUACGCGCGCUCCCUGCUCGUCCUUGCCGUGUUGCUCGCUUCUGCGCGCUUGCGCAUCGGUAAUUGCAGCCCGCAACGCAAGUGCCAAAUCGCUCGUGUUCCAACACAGUCAUGCUUAGCGGUCUGAUGUGCUGGGCUUUGCGGGGUUCAAGUGCUUUGUCAGGGCCUUCAAAGUCUGAAAAGCCUCGAUUUUUUUUUCCCCCAAGAAAGUUGCUGCAGGUGCAUGUUCAGUCCAAGCAGUGAUGAAAGCAGUGUCUGUCUGUUAGGCAUGCCAGCAAGUACCAGAGCCAGAAAUGGCAGAACCCACUGGUCGGGCAUACCUGUGAUGUACACCUUGCUUCUAGCUGUCUGAUGGCUUGGAAUGAACAUUGCCCUUGGUAGUCUUGUAUAUUUACACUUAAAGGAACCAGGCCACAUAGCAAACUUAGUUCAAUAAUAGAGAGUUUUAGAUUAAGGGACUCGAGUGGCUUGCAUAUGUAAAAAGUAGGUGCCACGGUACUGCACAUGCGCAGACCCAAGAUGUAGGGGUCUGCACAUGUGCAGUACCGUGGUCCUUAGUGUUUAGCGCAAGAAAGCUGCUCGAGUCCCCUAAUCUAAAACUCUCGAAUAGCAGAGAUAGAAAUGGUUGAAACUGGUGCAACCCCAUGAUUUCAGGAGGCGAGCGUCACCGCCAACAUACUCGCGCGCGAGCUGUUACGUUUGUCUUGCUUCAUGCUGUGCACGAGAACACCUGACUAGCGCUAUAAGUCAGUGCUACACGAACACUGAGGCAGACGCAAGCAGAUCUGCAUGACAUGGGAACAAGCUGGUGAAACGGAAGUGUAUCUCUUGCUAUGGUACGAAGGAAAACAAAUACACACAGUCGGUUUGUAGUUUUUUUUUUUUUUUUUUUAACUUUAAUUCGUCUAUUGAAGCAACAGAUCAAAGAAAUAACUGCUGUUGCCUUGAAUAACUCUGUAGCGUUUCACUGAGUGAUGUCUCAAUCUCAACACUGCGGAUUAGGUGCGCUUGAUGCCGGAAUUGAUUAUUGAUAGAUUGGCUAUCGAUUUGGAGUGUGGCGCCCGCGAGGACGAUGCAUGACAUUUGGUUUGAAAUUUCAGCUGUUUUCACAACGUGUAGCAGUGCAAUAUGUCGCAGGAAUGAUUGUUAGUGUGCAUUGUAUGCACUGCGCUUGUCAGCUCAAAAUGUCCAGACCUGGUGAAGGGGCCCUUUCAGGAUCAGUACAUGAAAUCUAGCCACAGCGAAAAAUUUGGUCCGAGCUGCGAUGGGUACGACAGCAUUAGUCACGGAUCUCGCUGCUCCGUACGUUCUUGAACUUGCAAUAUUGUCUCCUGCAAGACUUUAGGCGGUUCUUGAAAAUCAUUGCAAUGUGAUCAAGAUUACGGUCUUUCAACAAAGCUGACUGAUUUGCAAGAACUGUGAUGUAUUGGAAGAUACAUCACAGUUCUCGGUGAACUCGGUGCGUGUGUUUACUUGAAAUGUUAACAAAAUAUCAGGUGGUUUAGGGGCCCUUUAAAGCCCGAAUUUAGGGAUUUUUCUAGUCUUUACAAUCGGCAAGCAAUGGUCUCCAUUUGGAAAACAUUCUAUUUAAACAAGUAAAAUGACUUGCAGGAAAAUGUAAUGGUAAAGAGGGCUGUUAACAAAUCAUGAACUCAUUUCUACAAAUCCUUGUCAGGCAUUAAGGGAGAUGUGGGUUCUAAAAUUAGUUUUGUUAAUUUUUGUAUGAAUUGGAUGAUAUUAAACAGUAUUGUUCGGUUUGUGCUGAUUGCAAAUAUCUAAUCAGAUUUGGUAUCUCUGCAUUGAUACAAAAUUUUUAAUACAGAAAUUCGGUCAAUUUCUUUUGGGGCUUUUCAAAAACUUAACUUUGUCAAAAACAAAAGCAGUCUAUGGCAAGAAUGUCAAAAUUGCUCUAGUCGGUGAUGCUAUUUUU